CCCUGUGUCGCUCCCCAUGGGGCGAGGAGUAGCAAACCAAACCCUAGCCGCCAGGCCUUCGCCACCACCACUCCCUUCUCACCACCGCGUUGUCGGUGCUAAAGCCCACGCGGCCACCAAGGACGGCAGCAGAGGGACAUCUUCCAUGGGUUGCUUCUUCCAGUCGUUUGGGCACGUAUGUUCUAGCUGAGUGUGGUUGCUUGGUGUUGCUUCGAUGGCUUUCCAGGGGUCAUGUCGAGAUGCAACGGUUGUUGUAUCAGGUCGAUUCAGCCAUUUGGUCAGGUUCCAUUCCAAAGACAUAAUGGUACAAAGUUUAACCAGUCAAGCAGUGGUCAGCCCAAGAUUGGGGCAAACAAGGGUUAUUGUCGGGUUAUUUAAUGGAGCAAGGUACCUCGCCUACUCAUCACUAGCGACUGCGAAGCUGUCAAGCAUUGUCGUCGUCCUCUCCCUGGCUAACCUCAAUCUCUGAGUCCGCCAUUAUAACCAAGUACAGCUCCUAAACUUCUCUUGGCCACUUAGUCAUAUGCUGAGCAUAUGUAUGGAUCUUAAAAGUAGGCAACAUGUGGCUCUUAGGGUUCAAGUGUUGCCAUCGUCCAAGUUAUUGAAUGAUGUUACAAAACUGACUGGCCACAGAUGAAUGCGAAACAGAAAAAAACCCAGAUUCACCAACCGUACAUUAUCAACCAUUAAUGGUGCCACAGUGUACAGAAGAUUUAAUUGGCUUGUAGCAUGUGCAUUAUGUGUACGCCAUUCAAUGAUAAUCUACUUACUGUCCUAUUCACCUAGUACUAGCCAAAGAGAACCACACUCAAAAUAACCUGCAAAGGGACCCAGUAUGAUCUCAUCUGAUAUGACAAA